AUUCAUAUAGUUUAAAAAUAAAUAUUUUAUUUUCAUUAAAAAGAAAGAAUAUAAAAUUCUUAUGAAUA
rnacentral:tRNA from 1 species